CAUCUUCAGGGCAGGGUGAAAUUCCCGACCGGCGGUGACGGCACACUUUGUGCACAAGUCCGCGAGCCGAAAGGCUGAUCCCGGUUUGAAACCGGAACCGACAGUAGAGUCUGGAUGGAAGAAGAUG
rnacentral:ncRNA from 1 species